rnacentral:rRNA from 1 species
AACGAACGCUGGCGGCAGGCUUAACUCAUGCAAGUCGAACGCACCUUUCGGGGUGAGUGGCAGACGGGUGAGUAACGCGUGGGAAUCUACCCUUCUCUACGGGAUAGCUCCGGGAAACUGGAAUUAAUACCGUAUACGUCCUGAGGGAGAAAGAUUUAUCGGGGAAGGAUGAGCCCGCGUUGGAUUAGCUAGUUGGUGGGGUAAAGGCCUACCAAGGCGACGAUCCAUAGCUGGUCUAAGAGGAUGAUCAGCCACAUUGGGACUGAGACACGGCCCAAACUCCUACGGGAGGCAGCAGUGGGGAAUAUUGGACAAUGGGCGCAAGCCUGAUCCAGCCAUGCCGCGUGAGUGAUGAAGGCCCUAGGGUUGUAAAGCUCUUUCAGUGGGGACGAUAAUGACGGUACCCACAGAAGAAGCCCCGGCUAACUUCGUG